rnacentral:rRNA from 1 species
CUGUGAGCUCGAUGAGUAGGGCGGGACACGUGGUAUCCUGUCUGAAUAUGGGGGGACCAUCCUCCAAGGCUAAAUACUCCUGACUGACCGAUAGUGAACCAGUACCGUGAGGGAAAGGCGAAAAGAACCCCGGCGAGGGGAGUGAAAAAGAACCUGAAACCGUGUACGUACAAGCAGUGGGAGCACGCUUCGGCGUGUGACUGCGUACCUUUUGUAUAAUGGGUCAGCGACUUAUAUUCUGUAGCAAGGUUAACCGAAUAGGGGAGCCGAAGGGAAACCGAGUCUUAACUGGGCGUUAAGUUGCAGGGUAUAGACCCGAAACCCGGUGAUCUAGCCAUGGGCAGGUUGAAGGUUGGGUAACACUAACUGGAGGACCGAACCGACUAAUGUUGAAAAAUUAGCGGAUGACUUGUGGCUGGGGGUGAAAGGCCAAUCAAACCGGGAGAUAGCUGGUUCUCCCCGAAAGCUAUUUAGGUAGCGCCUCGUGAAUUCAUCUCCGGGGGUAGAGCACUGUUUCGGCAAGGGGGUCAUCCCGACUUACCAACCCGAUGCAAACUGCGAAUACCGGAGAAUGUUAUCACGGGAGACACACGGCGGGUGCUAACGUCCGUCGUGAAGAGGGAAACAACCCAGACCGCCAGCUAAGGUCCCAAAGUCAUGGUUAAGUGGGAAACGAUGUGGGAAGGCCCAGACAGCCAGGAUGUUGGCUUAGAAGCAGCCAUCAUUUAAAGAAAGCGUAAUAGCUCACUGGUCGAGUCGGCCUGCGCGGAAGAUGUAACGGGGCUAAACCAUGCACCGAAGCUGCGGCAGCGACACUAUGUGUUGUUGGGUAGGGGAGCGUUCUGUAAGCCUGUGAAGGUGUACUGUGAGGCAUGCUGGAGGUAUCAGAAGUGCGAAUGCUGACAUAAGUAACGAUAAAGCGGGUGAAAAGCCCGCUCGCCGGAAGACCAAGGGUUCCUGUCCAACGUUAAUCGGGGCAGGGUGAGUCGACCCCUAAGGCGAGGCCGAAAGGCGUAGUCGAUGGGAAACAGGUUAAUAUUCCUGUACUUGGUGUUACUGCGAAGGGGGGACGGAGAAGGCUAUGUUGGCCGGGCGACGGUUGUCCCGGUUUAAGCGUGUAGGCUGGUUUUCCAGGCAAAUCCGGAAAAUCAAGGCUGAGGCGUGAUGACGAGGCACUACGGUGCUGAAGCAACAAAUGCCCUGCUUCCAGGAAAAGCCUCUAAGCAUCAGGUAACAUCAAAUCGUACCCCAAACCGACACAGGUGGUCAGGUAGAGAAUACCAAGGCGCUUGAGAGAACUCGGGUGAAGGAACUAGGCAAAAUGGUGCCGUAACUUCGGGAGAAGGCACGCUGAUAUGUAGGUGAAGCGACUUGCUCGUGGAGCUGAAAUCAGUCGAAGAUACCAGCUGGCUGCAACUGUUUAUUAAAAACACAGCACUGUGCAAACACGAAAGUGGACGUAUACGGUGUGACGCCUGCCCGGUGCCGGAAGGUUAAUUGAUGGGGUUAGCGGUAACGCGAAGCUCUUGAUCGAAGCCCCGGUAAACGGCGGCCGUAACUAUAACGGUCCUAAGGUAGCGAAAUUCCUUGUCGGGUAAGUUCCGACCUGCACGAAUGGCGUAAUGAUGGCCAGGCUGUCUCCACCCGAGACUCAGUGAAAUUGAACUCGCUGUGAAGAUGCAGUGUACCCGCGGCAAGACGGAAAGACCCCGUGAACCUUUACUAUAGCUUGACACUGAACAUUGAGCCUUGAUGUGUAGGAUAGGUGGGAGGCUUUGAAGUGUGGACGCCAGUCUGCAUGGAGCCGACCUUGAAAUACCACCCUUUAAUGUUUGAUGUUCUAACGUUGACCCGUGAUCCGGGUUGCGGACAGUGUCUGGUGGGUAGUUUGACUGGGGCGGUCUCCUCCUAAAGAGUAACGGAGGAGCACGAAGGUUGGCUAAUCCUGGUCGGACAUCAGGAGGUUAGUGCAAUGGCAUAAGCCAGCUUGACUGCGAGCGUGACGGCGCGAGCAGGUGCGAAAGCAGGUCAUAGUGAUCCGGUGGUUCUGAAUGGAAGGGCCAUCGCUCAACGGAUAAAAGGUACUCCGGGGAUAACAGGCUGAUACCGCCCAAGAGUUCAUAUCGACGGCGGUGUUUGGCACCUCGAUGUCGGCUCAUCACAUCCUGGGGCUGAAGUAGGUCCCAAGGGUAUGGCUGUUCGCCAUUUAAAGUGGUACGCGAGCUGGGUUUAGAACGUCGUGAGACAGUUCGGUCCCUAUCUGCCGUGGGCGCUGGAGAACUGAGGGGGGCUGCUCCUAGUACGAGAGGACCGGAGUGGACGCAUCACUGGUGUUCGGGUUGUCAUGCCAAUGGCACUGCCCGGUAGCUAAAUGCGGAAGAGAUAAGUGCUGAAAGCAUCUAAGCACGAAACUUGCCCCGAGAUGAGUUCUCCCUGACUCCUUGAGAGUCCUGAAGGAACGUUGAAGACGACGACGUUGAUAGGCCGGGUGUGUAAGCGCAGCGAUGCGUUGAGCUAACCGGUACUAAUGAACCGUGAGGCUUAACCUU